CAGUCGUUUUGUGCAGGUCUUUUUGCAAGUCUUCUUGCAGCACUGUAUAUCCUCAAAGUCUAGUAAAUGUUUUAUCUCUCAAUCCCUACUUCCCUGAAUUCAGAGUAUAAAUACAUAACAACACUCUUCACAUGAAUAAUAUAUAUAGUAAGCAUUAUCACACACUAUUCCCAACCAUGAACCCUAUUCUCUUCAUUGCUUUCUUACUCUUUGCUUCUCUUUUCUUCCUUCCCACUUCAACCAUGGCUCGACAACUCAACGGAGGGACUAUUAGCAGGGGAAACCCUAAUCAACCUUUAACAUGUCGCAAUCAGGGUUCUUAUAGAAAUUGCCUUCCAUUGAAAUUACCACCACCACCAUCAUCACAAUCAUGCUCAUCAUAUAAACGUAGUUGUCGUACACCACCAUCAUGAUCAAAAUAUAAUCGUAAUUGUUGGUCGAUAUCUAUAUUGGAUGUCCAAAUAUGUAGCAUCUGAAUAAAUUAAAUGUAGGUUUACUUAUUGGUGAGACAUUGUACACUUGUUGUGUUCAACUAUGGUGCUACAAUCUCUAUGUUUUUGUUUUAGAAUUUCUAUGCUUUAGUUGCUUUAUAGUGAGCGCUAAGUUUGCUGUUAAAUAAAGGUUUGGUUUAUAGGACAAUCCAAUAAAUAAGAUCUUGAUUGCCUAUA